rnacentral:rRNA from 1 species
UUUUACUAAAAUCUAUCAAAAAUGUUGGUUUCCCGAAAUUAUAAGAGCUAUCAAUAGUAUAAAUUUAGCUUACUGAAUACUAGGGCUGUGGCAUCAUCCUUAACAAGAAUUAUUGAUAGGAGCGAAAUACUUCCACUUUUAAUGAUAUCUGGAUAGCAAUUAAAUACAUUGAGUGUAUUUCACAAAUCUGUUAAGUAAUAAGAUUUGGCAGAAUAAAAUAAAUCUUGGUAUCAAAUAGAACUUUUUUAUCUAAAAUAUAAUGAAGGAUGCUUAUUUAAUAACUAAGCUAGGCUAACUAUUUAUUGGUAUUUGCUUAAUAAGUUAAACCAUAUUCAUUUAUUCCAUAAUGUAAAAAUUAGUAGGAGAGGCAAUAAUAUUUAAGGAACUCGGCAAAUAAUCUUUUUGACUGUUUAUCAAAAACAUAGCGGCAUGACCCUCAUAUGCGGUAUAAUCUGCCCAGUGUUAAAAUUAACGGCCGCAGUACUUUGACUGUGCUAAGGUAGCAUAAUAAUUUGGCUUUUAAUUGAGGUCUGGUAUCAAAGAAUUCACAAAGAGCUACUGUCUCUAAUAUUGUAUUCCGAAAUUAUUUAAUAAGUGAAAAUGCUUAUGAUAAUAAAAAAUAGACGAGAAGACCCUUAGAAUUUUAAGAAAUCAAAGUCGAAAAAAGAUUAAUGCUUUUUGUUGGGGCAACAUAUUUUCAUAUAAAAUAAAAUAUUUUAAAUUCAAUUCACCGAUUUAUAUUAACAUAAAAAUUACCUUAGGGAUAACAGCAUAAUUUAAUUAAUAAGUUUGUGACCUCGAUGUUGGACUAGGGACGUUAUGCGCGAGAUGUGCAUAGUGGAUGUUCUGUUCGAACGUUUAAACCUACAUGAUCUGAGUUCAGACCGG